AUUGAACGCUGGCGGCAUGCCUAACACAUGCAAGUCGAACGGUAACGCGGAGAGCUUGCUCUCUGGCGACGAGUGGCGGACGGGUGAGUAAUACUUAGGAAUCUGCCCAGUAGUGGGGGACAACAUUCGGAAACGGAUGCUAAUACCGCAUACGCACUACGGUGGAAAGUGGGGGACCUUCGGGGCCUCACGCUAUUGGAUGAGCCUAAGUCGGAUUAGCUUGUUGGUAGGGUAAUGGCCUACCAAGGCGACGAUCCGUAGCUGGUCUGAGAGGACGAUCAGCCACACUGGGACUGAGACACGGCCCAGACUCCUACGGGAGGCAGCAGUGGGGAAUAUUGGACAAUGGGCGCAAGCCUGAUCCAGCAAUGCCGCGUGUGUGAAGAAGGCCUGCGGGUUGUAAAGCACUUUCAGUAGAGAAGAAAAGCCCAGGGUUAAUAUCCCUGAGUCUUGACGUAACCUACAGAAGAAGCACCGGCUAACUCCGUG
rnacentral:rRNA from 1 species